UACGUAGGGUGCGAGCGUUAAUCGGAAUUACUGGGCGUAAAGCGUGCGUAGGCGGUUCGUUAUGUCUGCUGUGAAAGCCCCGGGCUUAACCUGGGAAUGGCAGUGGAAACUGGCGGGCUUGAGUGUGGCAGAGGGGAGUGGAAUUCCGCGUGUAGCAGUGAAAUGCGUAGAGAUGCGGAGGAACACCGAUGGCGAAGGCAGCCCCCUGGGCUGACACUGACGCUGAGGCACGAAAGCGUGGGGAGCAAACAGG
rnacentral:rRNA from 1 species